UACGUAGGGUGCAAGCGUUGUCCGGAAUUAUUGGGCGUAAAGAGCUCGUAGGCGGUGUGUCGCGUCGGCCGUGAAAACCUGGGGCUCAACUCUGGGCGUGCGGUCGAUACGGGCAUCACUAGAGUUCGGCAGGGGAGACUGGAAUUCCUGGUGUAGCGGUGAAAUGCGCAGAUAUCAGGAGGAACACCGGUGGCGAAGGCGGGUCUCUGGGCCGAUACUGACGCUGAGGAGCGAAAGCAUGGGUAGCGAACAGG
rnacentral:rRNA from 1 species